AGCGAACGCUGGCGGCAGGCCUAACACAUGCAAGUCGAACGAACUCUUCGGAGUUAGUGGCGGACGGGUGAGUAACACGUGGGAACGUGCCUUUUGGUUCGGAAUAACUCAGGGAAACUUGUGCUAAUACCGAAUGUGCCCUUCGGGGGAAAGAUUUAUCGCCAUUAGAGCGGCCCGCGUCUGAUUAGCUAGUUGGUGAGGUAACGGCUCACCAAGGCGACGAUCAGUAGCUGGUCUGAGAGGAUGACCAGCCACACUGGGACUGAGACACGGCCCAGACUCCUACGGGAGGCAGCAGUGGGGAAUCUUGCGCAAUGGGCGAAAGCCUGACGCAGCCAUGCCGCGUGAAUAAUGAAGGUCUUAGGAUUGUAAAAUUCUUUCACCGGGGACGAUAAUGACGGUACCCGGAGAAGAAGCCCCGGCUAACUUCGUG
rnacentral:rRNA from 1 species